rnacentral:lncRNA from 1 species
CCGCACAUCCAGGUGGUAGAACCACUUCUGUUUCAAAGAUGGACUGGGGAAAGACAUUAAGUUUGGAGCAGCUCAGGGCUACGGAUCUAGCCUUUCUCCCUCGGGUCUCCAGGCUCACUUAGGUCCAAGCUGCGGAGCAGGGACAGCGGAGCCCAGGCAGCCACGUUCAGGCCCAGCCACCAGAAUGUUCUGUUCGAUGCCAUUUAUCCUUGAUGAUAGAAAAUUGCGCUGUUGCCAGGACGCUGCCGCCGCCGCCGAAAUAGAGGGCAGGAGCCGCGUUUCCAUUUUCCGGCU